GUGGGGAAUCUUGCGCAAUGGGCGAAAGCCUGACGCAGCCAUGCCGCGUGAAUGAUGAAGGUCUUAGGAUUGUAAAAUUCUUUCACCGGGGACGAUAAUGACGGUACCCGGAGAAGAAGCUCCGGCUAACUUCGUGCCAGCAGCCGCGGUAAUACGAAGGGGGCUAGCGUUGCUCGGAAUUACUGGGCGUAAAGGGCGCGUAGGCGGACAGCUUAGUCAGAGGUGAAAGCCAAGGGCUCAACCUUGGAAUUGCCUUUGAUACUGGCUGUCUUGAGUUUGGGAGAGGUGAGUGGAACUCCGGGUGUAGAGGUGAAAUUCGUAGAUAUUCGGAAGAACACCAGUGGCGAAGGCGACUCACUGGCCCAAUACUGACGCUGAGGCGCGAAAGCGUGGGGAGCAAACAGGAUUAGAUACCCGAGUAGUCC
rnacentral:rRNA from 1 species